CGUGGUUCAGUUUUUGGCUAGAGCUGAGGAAAUUGCUGAUGAGAUCAAUAGAACGGAGCUUAAAGAAAAUGAAGAGCCGUUCAGGAAGGAAGAUAAGAAACUGUGGCAAGCGUUUCCACAUGUGAUUGGGUUGGAUGGGAGGCCUAUGUUAACAUUAAUGGGAGACAACAUUAAUGGCAAACAAUACAAAGUGGUGCAAGUUUAGCACCCUAAAAUUGACUUUGAAAAAGUGGCAUGGGAUAAUUUUUUUUUGGUCCUUGAGAUAAUGGGCUAUUUAUUGUUUGGUCCUUAAACCUCAACUAUAAAUAGGCCUUCUCAUUUCUCAUUUCAAUUCAUCCCAACCAAUCUUUCUCUCUUAGUUUUCUCUCUUCUCUCAUUUGAGAAUUCUUAAGGAAUUCUAUUUGUUUGUAAUACUUUGAAGAUAGUAAAGUUAUCAUCUGGUGUUAGUGCCCGAGGACGUAGGUAUAAUUUACCGAACCUCGUUAAAACUCUUGUGUUCUUUCUUGUCCUAUUUUUCUUUCAAUAUUUGAGGGUAUAAUAGUAGUAUUUAAUUGUGCUAUUAAAUUACUAUAGAAGGGAUAUUCUGUCUAAGGAAAGACUUGGUAUUUAAGAGAUCCAUGUGAUUCACCUCUCUUCCCUGGGAAUUGAACUUUGUGUGAUUUUUUAGUACAAUAAUUUACACGCUUCUGACCCUAUUGGAACAACAAGUGGUAUCAAGAGCCGAAGGUUAAUCGUAGUAUGCUCUGUGGUUGCAGUUUGAACUGAUCUUCCACAUCAGAAAAGAUUUCCUUAGGUAUAUUGAAAGAUUAUGGAGAAAAUGGUCGGUGUAGGAGCUUUAACAUCGUCCAUGUGGACAAGACCGAUAAUUACAAAUGCAAGACUGGCCGUGGAGAUCUUUGAUGGCACGGGCCAUUUUGGUAUGUGGCAAAGUGAGGUUCUAGAUGCCCUUUUUCAGCAGGGUCUAGACAUUGCCAUUGAUGAAGAGAAACCAGAUGAUGUACAGGAGAAAGAUUGGAAGGCGAUCAAUCGGUUGGCAUGUGGCACAAUUCGAUCAUGCCUUUCUCGAGAGCAGAGGUAUGCUUUUUCAAAGGAGACUUCUGCAAAUAAGUUGUGGGUGGCACUUGAAGAAAAUUUUUUGAAGAAAAACAGUCAAAAUAAGCUCCACUUGAAGAAAAGACUGUUUCGCUUCACAUACGUCCCAAGUACCACAAUGAAUGAUCACAUCACCAAAUUUAAUCAGUUAGUCACUGAUUUGCUGAAUAUGGAUGAGACAUUCAAAGAUGAAGAUUUGGCUUUGAUGCUGUUGGGGUCACUUCCUGAGGAGUUUGAGUUCCUAGAAACUACUCUACUUCAUGGCAGGAGUGAUAUAUCUCUGAGCGAAGUCUGUGCGGCCUUAUACAGUUAUGAACAGAGAAAGAAGGACAAACAGAAAAACUCAAUCAGAGAUACAGAAGCUUUAGUAGUCCGAGGUCGUUCAUACACUCGGAAGAAAACUCAAAAGGGGAGAUCAAAGUCAAAGUCCAGACUCGGGAAAGAUGAAUGUGCUUUUUGUCAUGAGAAAUGCCACUGGAAGAAAAAUUGUCCAAAGCUGAAGAAUAAGGGAAAAGCUGCUGUAGAUGCUUGUGUUGCAAAGCAUGAUACCAGUGACUCUGAACUAUCACUGGUUGCAUCAUCAUCGUCGUUCCAUUCAGAUGAGUGGAUAUUGGAUUCGGGUUGUACCUAUCAUAUGUCCCCUAACCGGGAGUGGUUCUCUGAUUUAGUGGAACUAAAUGGAGGAGUUGUUUAUAUGGGCAAUGACAAUGCCUGUAAAACUGUUGGGAUAGGUUCAAUCCAAUUAAAGAAUAAAGAUGGAUCAACCAGAAUUCUGACUUAUGUUCGGUACGUGCCCAGUUUGAAGAAAAAUCUCAUCUCAUUGGGAGCCCUGGAAUCCAAUGGUUCAGUUGUUACUAUGAGAGAUGGGGUUUUGAAAGUGACAUCUGGCGCACUUGUGAUAUUGAAGGGCAUUAGGAAAAAUAACUUGUAUUACUACCAAGGUAGUACAGUUAUUGGAGCAGUCGCUGCAGCUUCCGGCAACAAAGAAUUGGACUCAAUACAGUUGUGGCAUAUGAAGUUGGGACAUGCCAGCGAAAAAUCCUUGCAAAUUCUGGCAAAGCAAGGAUUAUUGAAAGGUGUAAAGGCUUGCAAAUUAAAAUUUUGCAAGCAUUGUGUUCUGGGAAAGCAAAAGAGAGUGAAAUUCGGUACUGCUAUCUAUAAUACAAAAGGUAUUUUAGAAUAUGUUCACUCAGAUGUGUGGGGGCCUUCCAAGACACCUUCAUUGGGAGGAAAACACUACUUUGUUACUUUUGUUGAUGACUUUUCCAGAAGAGUUUGGGUGUAUACCAUGAGAACUAAGGAUGAAGUGCUUAGAGUUUUUCUUAAAUGGAAAACUAUGAUCGAAAACCAGACUGGCAAGAAAAUCAAGCGGCUUAGGACGGACAAUGGAGGGGAAUAUAAAAGUGAUCCGUUCUUUGAUGUGUGCCAAGAGUAUGGUAUUGUUCGACACUUCACAGUUAGGGAUACACCACAGCAGAAUGGAUUGGCAGAGCGUAUGAAUCGAACAUUGCUGGAGAAAGUUCGAUGUAUGUUGUCCAAUGCUGGGUUGGGCAAGCAAUUUUGGGCUGAGGCUGUGACAUACGCUGGCCAUCUUGUUAAUCGUUUGCCAUCAUCUGCAUUAGAAAGAAAAACUCCUAUGGAGGUAUGGUCUGGAAAACCGGCUACAGAUUAUGAUUCCUUACAUGUGUUUGGAACCACUGCAUAUUACCAUGUGAAGGAGUCAAAGUUAGAUCCGAGGGCAAAGAAAGCUCUCUUUAUGGGAAUCACUUCUGGAGUGAAGGGAUUUCGUCUUUGGUGCUUAAGCACAAAGAAAAUGAUCUGUAGCAGAGAUGUUACCUUUGAUGAAUCUGCCACAUUGAAAAAGGUAGCAGAUAAAGAUAUUCAGACGAGCAAUACUCCACAGCAGGUGGAGUGUACUCCAAAACAGGUGGAGUUUGAGCAGAUGGGGAUUUGCCCAGUUAAUAAGUCUAAUUCUCCAGCCACAAUGGAGGAAUUAGAGGUUGAAGAGGUUCUGACCCAAGAACCACUAAGUACACCAGAACCAGUUGCAGUUGCAAGGCCACGGAGAGAAAUUCGUAAACCUGCUCGAUUUACUGAUAUGGUGGCCUACGCCCUUUCCGUUGUUGAUGAUAUUCCUAUCACUUAUCAAGAAGCAAUGCAAAGCUUAGAAAGUGAUAAAUGGAAAAGCGCCAUGGAUGAAGAAAUGCAGUCUCUCCGGAAGAACAAUACUUGGGAGUUGGCGCAAUUACCGAAAGGUAAAAGGGCAAUCGGAUGCAAGUGGGUAUUUGCAAAGAAAGAUGGAUCUCCUAGCAAGAAGGAUAUUCACUACAAGGUAAGAUUGGUAGCUAAAGGCUACGCUCAGAAGGAGGGAAUUGACUACAAUGAUGUAUUUUCCCCUGUUGUGAAGCAUUUCUCCAUUAGAAUUUUGUUGGCCUUGGUAGCACAGUUGAAUUUGGAGCUAGCUCAACUUGAUGUUAAGACGGCUUUCUUGCAUGGUGAGUUAGAAGAGGAGAUCUAUAUGACUCAGCCAGAAGGAUACACAGAUGCUGGUGGUAGAAAUUGGGUUUAUAAGCUUAACAAAUCGCUAUAUGGAUUGAAGCAAUCCCCGAGGCAGUGGUACAAGCGAUUUGAUAGCUUUAUGAGAAGGCAGAAAUACACAAGAAGCAAAUAUGACAAUUGUGUAUAUUUGCAGAAGCUGCAUGACGGAUCUUUCAUUUAUCUACUCUUGUAUGUUGAUGAUAUGUUAAUCGCUUCGAAGAGCCAAAAUGAGAUAGAUAAGCUGAAGGCUCAGUUGAAUCAAGAGUUCGAGAUGAAAGAUCUAGGUGAGGCCAAGAAGAUUCUCGGCAUGGAGAUAAGUAGAGAUAGACCGAGAGGCAAGCUCUGUUUAAAUCAGAAACAAUAUCUGAAAAAGGUAUUACAAUGUUUUGGUGUAAAUGAAAACACAAAACAUGUAAGUACCCACUUGCUUCUCAUUUGAAACUUAGUGCUCAAUUAUCUCCGAAGACUAAAGAUGAAAGAGAAUAUAUGGCGAAAGUCCCAUAUGCUAAUGCAGUUGGGAGUUUGAUGUAUGCGAUGGUGUGUACGAGGCCUGACAUUUCACAAGCUGUUGGAGUUGUGAGCAGGUAUAUGCAUGAUCCUGGAAAAGGACAUUGGCAAGCUGUGAAAUGGAUUCUACGGUAUCGUCGAAAAACCGUAGAUGUUGGUUUAAUUUUUGAACAGGAUGAAGCACUUGGUCAGUUUGUAGUUGGAUAUGUUAAUUCCGACUUUGCUGGUGAUUUAGAUAAACGUCGUUCAACUACGGGGUAUCUGUUUACUCUUGCGAAAGCCCCAGUGAGUUGGAAGUCUACCUUACAGUCUACAGUAGCUGUGUCUACUACAGAGGCAGAAUAUAUGGCAGUUACAGAAGCUGUUAAGGAGGCUAUUUGGCUUAAUGGAUUGUUGAAAGACUUAGGAGUUGUUCAAAGUCACAUAAGUUUAUAUUGUGACAGUCAGAGCGCUAUUCAUUUAGCGAAAAAUCAAGUCUAUCAUUCAAGAACCAAGCAUAUCGACGUAAGAUAUCACUUUGUGCAGGAAGUCUUUGAAAAAGGAAAAAUUCUACUUCAGAAGAUUCUGACAGCAGAUAAUCCCGCAGAUAUGAUGACCAAGGUGGUAACAACAAUCAAGUUUAAUCAUUGUUUGAACUUGAUUAACAUCCUGAGAAUUUGAGCACCUUCAGGUGUAUGGCGCUCGAGAGCGCAUUUGUAGGCACUACAAAAGAUAGCUUUAUCGAAUUUGGGGAGUUGAAGGGAGUGUGUGAAGAUGUGAUUAUCCUAAUCAAAUCUUCAAGGUGGAGAUUGUUAACAUUAAUGGGAGACAACAUUAAUGGCAAACAAUACAAAGUGGUGCAAGUUUAGCACCCUAAAGUUGACUUUGAAAAAGUGGCAUGGGAUAAUUUUUUUUGGUCCUUGAGAUAAUGGGCUAUUUAUUGUUUGGUCCUUAAACCUCAACUAUAAAUAGGCCUUCUCAUUUCUCAUUUCAAUUCAUCCUAACCAAUCUUUCUCUCUUAGUUUUCUCUCUUCUCUUAUUUGAGAAUUCUUAAGGAAUUCUAUUUGUUUGUAAUACUUUGAAGAUAGUAAAGUUAUCAUCUGGUGUUAGUGCCCGAGGACGUAGGUAUAAUUUACCGAACCUCGUUAAAACUCUUGUGUUCUUUCUUAUCCUAUUUUUCUUUCAAUAUUUGAGGGUAUAAUAGUAGUAUUUAAUUGUGCUAUUAAAUUACUAUAGAAGGGAUAUUCUGUCUAAGGAAAGACUUGGUAUUUAAGAGAUCCAUGUGAUCCACCUCUCUUCCCUGGGAAUUGAACUUUGUGUGAUUUUUUAGUACAAUAAUUUACACGCUUCCGACCCUAUUGGAACAACAGCCUAUGCCUAGAAAAGCUAUCAAGACCAGAGAAGAGAGCGAUGAUAAGUUUUGGGAUUUCACGAAACAGUUCUUUUUUGGGCUUUGGGGGUUCCGCCAGAGACCUUAUCCACCUGGUAAACCCAUUGAUGUUGCUCAAGCUAUUGGG
rnacentral:lncRNA from 1 species